UGGGGAAUCAUGGUCAAUGGGCGAAAGCCUGAACCUGCGACGCCGCGUGAGUGAUGAAGGUCGUAAGAUCGUAAAACUCUUUUCAGGGAUCUUAAAGCACAGCUGUCAACAACAGCUGUGUGUGACUCUCCCUGGAAGAAGCCCCAGCCAACUACGUGCCAGCAGCCGCGGUAAUACGUAGGUGGCAAGCGUUGUCCGGAAUUAUUGGGCGUAAAGGGCUCGCAGGCGGUUUCUUAAGUCUGAUGUGAAAGCCCCGGGCUCAACCUGGGAACUGCCUUUGUGACUGCAUAGCUAGAGUACGGUAGAGGGGGAUGGAAUUCCGCGUGUAGCAGUGAAAUGCGUAGAUAUGCGGAGGAACACCGAUGGCGAAGGCAAUCCCCUGGACCUGUACUGACGCUCAUGCACGAAAGCGUGGGGAGCAAACA
rnacentral:rRNA from 1 species